CGGGCUCCUUGGUGAUUCAUAAUAACUUAACGAAUCGCAUGGCCUUGUGCCGGCGAUGGUUCAUUCAAAUUUCUGCCCUAUCAACUUUCGAUGGUAGGAUAGUGGCCUACCAUGGUUUCAACGGGUAACGGGGAAUUAGGGUUCUAUUCCGGAGAGGGAGCCUGAGAAACGGCUACCACAUCCAAGGAAGGCAGCAGGCGCGCAAAUUACCCAAUCCCGACACGGGGAGGUAGUGACAAUAAAUACUGAUACAGGGCUCUUUUGGGUCUUGUAAUUGGAAUGAGUACAAUUUAAAUCCCUUAACGAGGAACAAUUGGAGGGCAAGUCUGGUGCCAGCAGCCGCGGUAAUUCCAGCUCCAAUAGCGUAUAUUAAAGUUGUUGCAGUUAAAAAGCUCGUAGUUGAACCUUGGGCCUGGCUGGCCGGUCCGCCUCACCGCGUGCACUGGUCCGGCCGGGCCUUUCCUUCUGGGGAGCCGCAUGCCCUUCACUGGGUGUGUCGGGGAACCAGGACUUUUACUUUGAAAAAAUUAGAGUGUUCAAAGCAGGCCUAUGCUCGAAUACAUUAGCAUGGAAUAAUAGAAUAGGACGUGUGGUUCUAUUUUGUUGGUUUCUAGGACCGCCGUAAUGAUUAAUAGGGAUAGUCGGGGGCAUCAGUAUUCCGUUGUCAGAGGUGAAAUUCUUGGAUUUACGGAAGACUAACUACUGCGAAAGCAUUUGCCAAGGAUGUUUUCAUUAAUCAGUGAACGAAAGUUAGGGGAUCGAAGACGAUCAGAUACCGUCGUAGUCUUAACCAUAAACUAUGCCGACUAGGGAUCGGGCGAUGUUAUCUUUUUGACUCGCUCGGCACCUUACGAGAAAUCAAAG
rnacentral:rRNA from 1 species